rnacentral:misc_RNA from 1 species
CCGUGAGUCGUGCCUCAUGCGAGGCUUCUAGAAUUACAAAAUGGCGGUUGAUCCGUAUAUUAUUUAUUUUGGUUUGCUUAUGAUUCCGUGAGUUUCGAACUAUUAAAACUACCCGACAUUCAAAACACGACUACAACUCCGGUUGGAAAAAUGGAUGAAAAUGACGUGGAAGUUUUAUCGGUACCAUCGAAAAAACACUGCGGCCUCAAAAUGCCACUCUCGAAAGCAAAAUUGGGUCACAAACGGCGUAGGUCAUUGACUCCCAUGCGCCCUAUUGCGAUCGCGCCAAAAACGAAUUUCCCAAGGGGUGUUCAAAAUGUGGAACUAAGUCAAAGCUUGGCCAUCAAAAAUGAACCCGGAUACAUUACCAUAGUACCGAGAGUUAGUCAAAUUGCAUUAGAAAAUGACAGUAACAAGUCAGUCGCAGUAAUUGAUCAAUAUGAGAUUUUGGAUUCCUUAUCAACACCCCAAAAUCCAAAGCGCAUGAAAGUCAGUGGAACUGAAGACAUAGUUACGCAACUCGUUAUAGUCCCAAAUCAAUCUCUAGAUGCUUAUAAUACGAUUCUGAUCACAGAUAAUGAUGACAAAAUUUUAUGUAAAAAAAAAACACAUCCACGCGAGUACACGAUAUUGAAAAAUGAUCUUUCUAACAAUGGUAUAUUACAACAAUGCAACUUUACUACAGAUAAAUCAAACACAAUUAAUUGUACAUUUUCAGUACCACCAAAAUUUGACCUUGUACUUCAGGAUCAAAUUUCAGUCUCACAAACUGAUGAAAAGACUAAUUGUAAUAAUGUAUAUAAAACUAUUCCAACAAAGUCAAAGUCAUCUUCUCAUAGUUCCAAUGCCUCAAACUCUGCUAGUAGUAAAAGUAGAGAAUCUAAACUGUUAAUUUAUGGAAAUACAACAUCCAGUAAGGAAAUCGACAAAUCACAGUCAUCGAAUGCCGCUACAAUUCAAUCUUCAGACUCCGUGGACUCAUUGAAAUCUAGAUCUCAAAAGCCUGUUGUAAUCAUGCAGCAAUUACUAUCGCCUGCAAAAAGAACAAGUUCAAUUAAAGGGAAGCAGACAUCGACAGCAGACUUAAGUAAAGUAACACCGAUAAAUGCACAGAGUAUAAAUAUGGAGAUGAAGAAUUCAUCCAAACAUACAUCGCCGCCAAAAUCGAACGAAAGUUUUUAUAACUUAAAAACAAUGAAUCCGAACGCAACUAGGAUAAACAAUUACGAACAUGAAACUGAUUUCUUAUUGAAAAAAGAAUUCCCUAUCAUCAGCAGCAGUCAAGUUGACUCCGUGUUGAAAGCCAUAGACAUGCAAGGUACAAACAAGGGAAUCAUCUCGAACGACACCUCUAAUCACACUAAAAAGGAAACGGGAGAGAAAAGUUCAAAUGAUGGCCAUUUGCUGCCUUACAUUCAGGGUGCAGCAAAACUACUUAAAAAUGGGAAUACGUACUGUGCAGAUACAGUUACGAAUGAUUCGAUCCGAUUUCAAACAAACCGACCUACAAAACGACUUCAAUUCGAGGAAUCGGUGGAAAAUAAUUCCAUGACGAUAGAAAAAUUGACGGACACUCUACAAUGUUACAAAUGCAAGGAUUGUUGUUACAUGAGUUUGAAUGAGGUGCUUAUUUUUGAACACAUCAAAAAGGAGCAUAUAAACGAAUCUAGGAGCAAAGAAAAGAAAAUGUUCAAAUGUCCAGGCUGUUCAAAUACUUUUCACCAUGAAGCCUCACUCUUCUCUCACAUUGUGCAUGAUCAUGAGGUACAUGAAAGAGAGGCUCAAUUCAUGGUUGAACAAUUGUUUUCCCAGCAAACUUUGGCAAUUGUCAACAAGAAUCAAAAACCAUUUUCUGAAAUCGGUACGGCAAAAACGAAUAACAAACAAAUUCUCAUCACAGAAAUAUCUAAUAAAUUUCUUGAAAACGACAGUCAGGUACAGUCUCUUUUGGUUUCAAAUCCAAGAGUGCUCACCUCAUUUGAGGACAUACAAACUACCUCAAAGUUAUCAAAGAACAACUUAUUGGUUGAAAAUACCGAGUUGCAAUGUAUGCAAAACAUGAAUAAUAUGCCGGUAUCAAUAAGAGAACCUAUAGAGACAGUUGACAUACAAGAUCUUACUUUUUUGAAUGACAAUAAAACAUUUCCAAACAAAUCUAAUGGGCAGCAAAAUCAAACAGUUGAAGUAGUUGAAAUCAAGAAUGGUGACAGUCCCGAGAAUCUAAAUUUUCUUGAGCUCAAAAAUAGUCAACGCCAUUUUGAGUUUGUUAACUUCAAAAACGAUAAGGAGGGUGAAGGGUACUUGCAAGAGGAUGAUACAGUGGAUAGAGGAAUUUCAGAUUCAGAAAUAGAACUCGGUGGUCUUCCAGCAUCAAAAUUGAUUGUAGAAAGCCCCAGGUUAGAGGCCAAAAGCUUAAAACCAGAGGUGAAACCAAAAAGUAAAGGGAGGCCUAAAGGCUCUAAGAGUCUUUCCAAUAAGCCGCAAGCUGUCAGUGUAAAACAGGGAUACAAAUGUGAAAUAGAAGAUUGUGGAGUACGUAUGCUGGUGCAGGAAAACAUUGUGUAUCACCAGAAAUGUCACGUCACUGGGGCAGUUCCAUGCACUAUCAGUUAUCAGUGUCCUGAAUGUGCAGAAUUUAAGAGUAAUAAUUGGAAUAAUUUGGCUGGUCACUUAUGGAGAUCGCAUAUAAUAGAUAUGGAAUUGCACUGCUGUGACUUGUGCAGUUAUAAGACACCUAGGUAUAUUUAUUUUCAACCAAAUUUAUCUUAAGUCACUUGACGAACCAACACAGAGGCAUACAUGGUGAAGACCGUCCAUUUUUAUGUGAUCAUUGUGGUAAAGGAUUCAAAACGAAAAAGCAGCGAAGAAAUCACCAAGCUCAUCACAGAGCCAAAGAAAAGGAAC